CCGUCCGAUCGGACGGAUCCAAAUUAAUCAAACAAUGUAACAGUUGCACGCUUUUUUUCACACGAUUUUGCCUGCCCCAAAAUAAUACGCGUGCUAAAGCACAACCAUGGCCAUAACCCCCCGCCCCCCUGUCCCUCUCCUCCUCUCUCCGUCAUCCCUCCCUUCCACCACCCACCAAAACGGCAACCCCAAACCCGUUGCCAGCUACCGCCUGCAACCCCCAUCACGCGAGAACCUGCUAUUCGUCGUUGUCAGCCUGUGAAUUCGGCGGAUUCAGAAGGAACAGUCGCGGUUUGGUGAAAAUCGGCCAUUAAUGGCUCUGAAAAGGCUGAUUUGGAGGAGAUUCUUGAUUCAAAAUUUGAAAUCUUCCUCCUUUCCCAUCCAUUUUUUUAAUUUUAGGGUUUCAAAUCCGGACUUGAAGUCCGAAUUUAUGCCUAUAAAUGGGGAGAGCCAUGCUUUGCUUGAAGGCAGAGUUUGAAAAGCAAGAAAGAUAGGAAGAAAAUUCGUGAGAAAAUUUAGACAGAAAAAGCUUAGUUUUCUGAGGUUGUUGAAAUAAAAGAGUUUGAAAAGCAAGAAAGAUAUGAAGAAAAUUCAUGAGAAAAUUCAGAGAGUAAAAACUUAGUUUUCAUAGGUUUUUGAGAUAAAAGAGUUUGGAAAAUGAGAAAAAGGAGGAGGAUUAGGGAGAAAACAAAAAAAAAAAUAAUUCAUAGGAAGUUUCAAGAUCUGUGAAGAGAAAAAAAAAUAGAGCUUAGCUUUGGAGAAGAAAGCAGUUAAAAAAAAAAGGAGUGAAAACAGAGGUCGGACAGGUUGAAGAAACAGUGUAAAAAAGAUCAAAAGGGAGUUGAAGUUAAGGUCGGUAAUCUCUUUGGUUGGGUUCCAAUUUGAGUUUCUCGGGUUUGAGUUUUGUCGCCGAAAAGCCUAGCCGUUCAAAGCCCCGGUUCACUGCACAACACAAGCUUUUUCUUUACAUGUACUUGGGAGUUGGAGUUCCGUUCUUGACCCAAUUAUCGGGUCAAUCGCUACUAGGAUCUCAAAAGCUUCGGAGUCGCGCGAAAUAUAAGUUUGAACUCCUUUAGGAGUCAGUAUCUCUUUAGCCUCUUUUUUUUUUUUCCUUUACUAAUUAUUUAUAUCAUGAUAAAUGGUUCUUGAUACUUGAAUUGAUAUUUUAGUAUAAUUGUUUAAAGUAUCGCUAUUUGAUUAUUAUAUUUGUAUUGUCCUGACAUUCGCAAAUUACCUUUAACAUGGAUUAACUUUCUACU